GAGAUCACGGUUCUUCUGUCUAGCCGCCUCUCUCAAACCUUCAUGGCUCCUGUGUUUGGUAUUCAAAUCAGGAUUUUGAUUUUUAAUCAUUUUCCUCUCUAUUGGUUGAAGUCACUGGAACCUAGAAAGAUCAAAUCCUACACCUACAUGACCUUCAUUGAGUUGUGAAGAAUGGAGGAAGUUCUUUUGGAGCAACUUAAGAAGUCCAAAAUACAGGAACAAAAGGACCUGCUAGAGAAUGAGGCUCUGAGCAAAUAGAUUGUCCACAGAUGUUUGUUGCAAGAGAAAAUCACAUAAGAUCGAUCACACAUGCAAUGACUUAAGGAGUCAAGCGGGCUCUGGAGUGAUAUAUUUGUUAAGAAGUUAUUGUCUUGCAGUUAGAAGCUUUAUCUAGUUAGUUUCAACUAUAAAAUAGUUAAUUUUCUUCUUUUGACAAAUAGGGGUAGAUGUCUUGAACUAAGUUGAGGUGUUUUUAGAUUUCUGUAAAUGCUAAGGCUAAUAAGGCAUUUCAACAAAAUCUUCAGUUCAUUUGAUGCGCUAGGGUGGUAAUGCAAAACGCAAAUUACCCUGAUAUAAUGUGGAGAACUGAAAGAUUAAUAAAAAAAGAAAAAGAAAUUGCCUUGAAUUUUGAUAUGAAAAA